GUACACUCCUACGGGAGGCAGCAGUGGGGAAUAUUGGACAAUGGGCGCAAGCCUGAUCCAGCCAUGCCGCGUGAGUGAUGAAGGCCCUAGGGUUGUAAAGCUCUUUCACCGGUGAAGAUAAUGACGGUAACCGGAGAAGAAGCCCCGGCUAACUUCGUGCCAGCAGCCGCGGUAAUACGAAGGGGGCUAGCGUUGUUCGGAUUUACUGGGCGUAAAGCGCACGUAGGCGGACUAUUAAGUCAGGGGUGAAAUCCCGGGGCUCAACCCCGGAACUGCCUUUGAUACUGGUAGUCUUGAGUUCGAGAGAGGUGAGUGGAAUUCCGAGUGUAGAGGUGAAAUUCGUAGAUAUUCGGAGGAACACCAGUGGCGAAGGCGGCUCACUGGCUCGAUACUGACGCUGAGGUGCGAAAGCGUGGGGAGCAAACAGGAUUAGAAAUCCUUGUAGUCCCAUG
rnacentral:rRNA from 1 species